GGCCUGAUGGUCUAGCGGUAUGAUUCUCGCUUCGGGAAAAAUCUCACCAGUUUAUCUGGUACAUUUGCGAGAGGUCCCGGGUUCAAUCCCCGGUCAGGCCC